GUUUGAUUCAUAUUGUCUAGGCCUCUACUGGCAUAGUCAUGUUUGGAUACUGCUGCUCUUUCACAGCAAUAUUUAAUUCAAGGAUGCCGAUGCCUCCAUUCGCAAAAGGGCCCUGGAACUUGUUUAUUUGUUAGUCAAUGAUACCAAUGUAAAGCUACUGACCAAAGAGCUUGUCGACUACUUGCAAGUAGCUGAUCCAGACUUCAAAGAAGAUCUCACAGCCAAGAUAUGCUCCAUAGAUGAAAAGUUUUCUCAAGAAAAGUUAUUGUAUCUUGAUCAGAUGUUCAAGGUUUUAUCCCUGCUUGG